GUGGGGAAUCUUAGACAAUGGGCGCAAGCCUGAUCUAGCCAUGCCGCGUGAGCGAUGAAGGCCUUAGGGUUGUAAAGCUCUUUCAGCUGGGAAGACAAUGACGGUACCAGCAGAAGAAGCCCCGGCUAACUCCGUGCCAGCAGCCGCGGUAAUACGGAGGGGGCUAGCGUUGUUCGGAAUUACUGGGCGUAAAGCGCACGUAGGCGGAUCAGAAAGUCAGAGGUGAAAUCCCAGGGCUCAACCUUGGAACUGCCUUUGAAACUCCUGAUCUUGAGGUCGAGAGAGGUGAGUGGAAUUCCGAGUGUAGAGGUGAAAUUCGUAGAUAUUCGGAGGAACACCAGUGGCGAAGGCGGCUCACUGGCUCGAUACUGACGCUGAGGUGCGAAAGCGUGGGGAGCAAACAGGAUUAGAAACCCGUGUAGUCC
rnacentral:rRNA from 1 species